rnacentral:lncRNA from 1 species
AUUAGUAGUAAACGAACAAGACUCUGAAUUUUCAACACAAUCGUUUUCAACAAAAUCCUCAUGAUCCCCCUCAUCAUCAUCAUCACCAACAUCACCUCCCCUCUCUCCGGAACCAUAUGAACUUAAAACAUAACUUGGCACACUAUACCUCGUCGUAUCAGGUGGAGUUUUCAGAACAGGUGGUCUAACACCCCUAAUCCCCCUCCCACCACCAGUCACCCCGUGAUCUCCACCCCCAUCAUCAUCAACAUCUUCCCCGACUUGUGGAACAAACAGAUUCAUAUCAAACAUUGGUAUAUUAUACGGCAUCCCAUCAGCUGGAGGUAUCAAAACAGGUGGUCUAACCCCCUUAAUCCCAUUUCUCCCACCAUUACGUUUAACAACAUCAACAUGCUGAAUUUCAUUCUCAUUCUCAUUUUCAUCAUUACCAUCAU